AUGAAAGUAAAACUUUCUGUGAACGCAGCUGCUUCUCGCCGGGUGCGGUGGCGCGUGCCUGUAAUCCAAGCUACCGGGAGGCUGAGGUUGGAGGAUCGUUUGAGCUCAGGAGCUCUGAGCUGCAGCAGGCUAUGUCGAUCGGGUGUCCGCACUAAGUUCGGCAUUGAUAUGGUGAUCCUGGGGGAGCCCGGGACCACCAGGUCGUCUAAGGAGGGGUGCCCAGGUCGGAGACGGAGCAGGUCAAAGCCCCCGUGUCGCUCAGUAGUGGGAUCGCGCCUGUGAAUAGAUGCUGUAGCGCAGCCUGAGCAAUACAGCGAGACCCAAUCUUUAUACACACCCUUAUACCUGUCUCUACAUCACACAGCAGCCUCAUCAGUCCUUAUUUAUCUUUUUAAUUGACGUCAAAAACACUCACAAACCUGCUGCUCUGCUUGUCCUGCACCACCUCAACUUGCAACUACAUCCUCCACCCUAAACACUCCUGCCGCCCAGCAGGUGGAGACAAGCUCACUCACUCACUCACUCACUCAAUCAUAUAUAUAUAUAUCAGUCUGGUAUGGUGUCGACAUAAUGCCGCAAUCUGGCAGUCAUGCCUUCUUUUUGAGCAGUGGUUCCAUGGUCUUUGAAUCCAGCGAUCCGAGUUCAAAUCUCAGUGGGACCUGAGGUUUUUCUCCGCUGAUUGGAAUGUGAAACAUUAGCGCGUCUUCUCUGGCACACCAAAACUGUGCUAUAAUUGUGUGUUCAGUCACAGGUGUAUGAAAUCAAGCAGCAAACCUUGACCGCUCCCUUUACAAACACUUGCCAAUCACUAUGUGGUACUAAAGAGCUGUCUGAAAUUCAGUUGUACACCACACAAAGUUACAGAGUGGGGUGUCUGAGUGCUGAGGUGCGCUUGUGCGUAAAAGUCACAAACACUCCCCUGACUCACUAACUGCACAGCUGACUUCAAAGUCAGCACAGAAAGUGGGCGCCACCAGUAUGUGUUUCCAUGGCUCAACAGCUGCUAUAUGUGUUAUGUGGAGUAUAACGUUUGUGUCUUCCCAAGUAUCUCAGUUUGUAACUUCCACAAGGCUGAUUUGUUUACGUCAGGAUGGCCGAGCGGUCUAAGGCGCUGCGUUCAGGUCGCAGUCUCCUCUGGAGGCGUGGGUUCGAAUCCCACUUCUGACAUUGAAGCCUUGUUCUUCUUGAUAUUGUGACAACAUACACUUGAAAUUUGGUUUAACCGCGAGGUUUCUCAGAACUUGCUUAUGACAGUUGUGCACCGUUCAUCCCUGAACUUUACUGGAUUUUCGAAUGAUGUACACUGUAACAACAUUCUACAUAAUUCUAAUAAAAUUCAC
rnacentral:lncRNA from 1 species